CCCUAUGGGGUGCACGCGGAGGCAUCCAGCCACUUCCGGCGCGUGAUGUGGGCGAAAAACCCGGAAGUGCUGAUUCCGCAGUGGCAGUUCCUUCGUGAGGCUGCGGGUGACGACCUUCUCAUGUGGCAGCUGAAUCAACUGGCCGCACUCGUCAAGGAACUGUGCGCCGAUGUCGGGGCCUGGUUUGCGCUACACCAUAUCCUGGCUGGAAACCGCGCUCGGCAGACCCCUGAUGAACGCUUUGGCCACGUUGCCAAGGUGUUCGAGGGCGUUCUCGGCAUUGCCCACGAGAAGUGGGGAGAGUCGGUCCCCGGGGCGCGCGUGACCGAGGUUAUAUUACACCGCUGGGCGGUGCAAGCCGCCGCCGUGUUGCCGAGGGGUGCGAAUUGGCGGGAGAGC
rnacentral:rRNA from 1 species